AACGCGAAGAACCUUACCAACCUUUGACAUGUCCAGUAUGGAUCUGAGAGAUCAGGUCCUUCAGUUCGGCUGGCUGGAACACAGGUGCUGCAUGGCUGUCGUCAGCUCGUGUCGUGAGAUGUUGGGUUAAGUCCCGCAACGAGCGCAACCCUCAUCUUCAGUUGCUACCAGGUUAAGCUGGGCACUCUGAAGAAACCGCCGGUGACAAGCCGGAGGAAGGCGGGGAUGACGUCAAGUCCUCAUGGCCCUUACAGGUUGGGCUACACACGUACUACAAUGGUGGUGACAGUGGGCUGCGAAGUCGCAAGACGGAGCCAAUCCCCAAAAGCCAUCUCAGUUCAGAUUGCACUCUGCAACUCGAGUGCAUGAAGUUGGAAUCGCUAGUAAUCGCAGAUCAGCACGCUGCGGUGAAUACGUUCCCGGGCUUGUACACACCGACAUA
rnacentral:rRNA from 1 species